CUACGUAGGGGGCGCGCGUUGUCCGGAAUGAUUGGGCGUAAAGGGCGCGUAGGCGGCCCGGUAAGUCUGGAGUGAAAGUCCUGUUUUUAAGAUGGGAAUUGCUUUGGAUACUGUCGGGCUUGAGUGCAGGAGAGGUAAGUGGAAUUCCCAGUGUAGCGGUGAAAUGCGUAGAGAUUGGGAGGAACACCAGUGGCGAAGGCGACUUACUGGACUGUAACUGACGCUGAGGCGCGAAAGUGUGGGGAGCAAACAGGAUUAGAUACCCUGGUAGUCCACACUGUAAACGAUGAAUGCUAGGUGUAGGGGGUAUCGACCCCUUCUGUGCCGCAGUCAACACAAUAAGCAUUCCGCCUGGGGAGUACGGCCGCAAGGUUGAAACUCAAAUGAAUUGACGGGG
rnacentral:rRNA from 1 species